rnacentral:piRNA from 1 species
UAACUUCCUAUAAAGAGAGUAUCCUUGGUA